rnacentral:lncRNA from 1 species
UGGAUAUCAGGAACAGAUGAUAUCAAUCACUAAUGGAUCACAGUUGACCAGGGGAAACUAAAAUCAUGGGAAACAAAACCAUGGAUAAGGCAGUACUACUGUAUACAGUUGGCCCUCCAUAGCCAUGCACUCUGCAUCAGUGGAUUCAAUCAGCCAUAGAUAAAAAAAUGUUUGAAAAGUUUAAAAGAAUGGUUGUUUCUGUACUGAACAGGUUAGGUGUUCAAGCUGUGUUAAAUCACAUCCCUGAUGUUUAUGUGGUCAGGAUAUGUGCCCUUGAGUGACCAAGCAGAAGUGCAUCUUCAAUGUUAGCUAAAUACACCUCUAAUGUAUUGAAGGAAAAAAAUCAAACCAGACAGAGAGGACUGGAAUAUGUAACUAGCUCUUCAGUGCAAAGACACAGACCUACAUCAUGAGAAACAACAGCCCACUAGGAACCAUAACCU